rnacentral:rRNA from 1 species
AACGUAGGAGACGAACGUUAUCCGGAUUUACUGGGCGUAAAGAGCGCGCAGGCGGUCGUGCAAGUCGGGUGUGAAAGCCCCCGGCUCAACUGGGGAGGGUCACGCGAUACUGCUCGACUCGAAGGCAGGAGAGGGAAGUGGAAUUCCCGGUGUAGUGGUGAAAUGCGUAGAUAUCGGGAGGAACACCAGUGGCGAAGGCGACUUCCUGGCCUGUUCUUGACGCUGAGGCGCGAAAGCUAGGGUAGCAAACGGG